rnacentral:lncRNA from 1 species
UCCGGUAUCUUUUACUUGAAUUAGUUGCUUAUAUUCAUGUGUCUUAGUUACUUUUCAUGCAUUUUGUGUUUAUUUUGUAGAUUUUAUGUUUGGAAGUGGUGUGAACGAUUAUUGUAAAGAAACGCAAAGAAAAUGCAAAAGAAAAGGCAAUCCGGAUAUCAUUUGGGCUUUCAUGUUACUUCAUGUUCUUGGUUUGGAACUUAGCUUACUCUGUAGAGCGUCUUCAUAGCUCUCCGGAACAUCUUGAAUCGCUCUAAUCGGAGUUCG